rnacentral:rRNA from 1 species
GACGAACGCUGGCGGCGUGCUUAACACAUGCCAGUCGAACGGGCCUGUCUUCUUUUUUGGGGGGUGGGUUGAGUGGCGAACGGGUGAGUAUCACGUGAGUAACCUGCCCUUCGGUCCUGGAUAACCGCUUGAAAGGGCGGCUAAUACGGGGUGGUCCGGUUGGUCCGCAUGGGCUGGUCGGGAUAGAUUCACUGUUUUUGGUGUUUCGGCGGGGGAUGGGCUCGCGGCCUAUCAGCUUGUUGGUGGGGUGAUGGCCUACCAAGGCGGUGACGGGUAGCCGGGCUGGGGGGGUGGGCGGCCACACUGGGGCCGAGAUACGGCCCAGACUCCUGCGGGAGGCAGCAGUGGGGGGUAUUGCACAAUGGGCGGAAGCCUGAUGCAGCGACGUCGCGUGAGGGAUGGAGGCCUUCGGGUUGUGAACCUCUGUUUCCGGUGGUGAAGGCCCUGUCCGUGUGGUGGGGUUGACGGUAGCCGGGGAUGAAGCGCCGGCUAACUACGUG